ACACUCCUGCGGGAGGCAGCAGUGGGGAAUUUUGGACAAUGGGCGAAAGCCUGAUCCAGCAAUGCCGCGUGAGUGAAGAAGGCCUUCGGGUUGUAAAGCUCUUUUGUCAGGGAAGAAACGGUGAGAGCUAAUAUCUUUUGCUAAUGACGGUACCUGAAGAAUAAGCACCGGCUAACUACGUGCCAGCAGCCGCGGUAAUACGUAGGGUGCAAGCGUUAAUCGGAAUUACUGGGCGUAAAGCGUGCGCAGGCGGUUUUGUAAGUCUGAUGUGAAAUCCCCGGGCUCAACCUGGGAAUUGCAUUGGAGACUGCAAGGCUGGAAUCUGGCAGAGGGGGGUAGAAUUCCACGUGUAGCAGUGAAAUGCGUAGAUAUGUGGAGGAACACCGAUGGCGAAGGCAGCCCCCUGGGUCAAGAUUGACGCUCAUGCACGAAAGCGUGGGGAGCAAACAGGAUUAGAUACCCUGGUAGUCCCAUGA
rnacentral:rRNA from 1 species